AUUUCCAUUGCAAACUAGCUUCUGCAUGAAAAAGGUUCUCUGAUAACUUCAAUUAAAGGUGAAGUUCCAUAACCGUGCGUUUGUAGUCCAACGGUUAGGAUAAUUGCCUUCCAAGCAAUAGACCCGGGUUCGACUCCCGGCAAACGCAAGUGGUUUUUCUUUUUCUCAGAUGCAACCAAGAUCCCUCGACAUGAAGGGAAGGAUAAAUUUCGAUAUGGAAAGCAGAAAAUUUAUAAUAAAUGGAAAAGCGGACAAACCUG
rnacentral:tRNA from 1 species